UACGGGGGGGCAAGCGUUGUUCGGAAUUACUGGGCGUAAAGGGCUCGUAGGCGGCCAACUAAGUCCGACGUGAAAUCCCCAGGCUCAACCUUUGAAUGCCGCUGGAAACUGUCUGGCUUGAGUCCGGAAGGGGCGAGUGGAAUUCCUGGUGUAGCGGUGAAAUGCGCAGAUAUCAGGAGGAACACCAAUGGCGAAGGCAGCUCGCUGGAACGGUACUGACGCUGAGGCGCGAAAGCGUGGGGAGCAAACAGG
rnacentral:rRNA from 1 species